rnacentral:rRNA from 1 species
UGGAUCCAGACUUUGAUUCUGGCUCAGGAUGAACGCUAGCGGCAGGCUUAACACAUGCAAGUCGAGGGGCAGCGGGAGGAAAGCUUGCUUUCCUCGCCGGCGACCGGCGCACGGGUGAGUAACACGUAUGCAACCUGCCCCUGUCAGGGGGACAACCCGCCGAAAGGCGGGCUAAACCCGCGUAUAUUCCCCGGGGGCAUCCCCGGGGGAGGAAAGGAGCGAUCCGGACAGGGAUGGGCAUGCGGCGCAUUAGCUUGUUGGGGGGGGUAACGGCCCACCAAGGCGACGAUGCGUAGGGGUUCUGAGAGGAAGGUCCCCCACACUGGUACUGAGACACGGACCAGACUCCUACGGGAGGCAGCAGUGAGGAAUAUUGGUCAAUGGCCGGGAGGCUGAACCAGCCAAGCCGCGUGAAGGAAGACGGCCCUACGGGUUGUAAACUUCUUUUGUCGGGGAACAAAAGGGAGGACGUGUCCUCCUCUGCGGGUACCCGAAGAAAAAGCAUCGGCUAACUCCGUGCCAGCAGCCGCGGUAAUACGGAGGAUGCGAGCGUUAUCCGGAUUUAUUGGGUUUAAAGGGUGCGUAGGCGGUCUGUUAAGUCAGCGGUAAAAGACCGGGGCUCAACCCCGGCAAGCCGUUGAAACUGGCGGACUAGAGACGGAGAGAAGUAAGCGGAAUGCGCAGUGUAGCGGUGAAAUGCAUAGAUAUUGCGCAGAACUCCGAUUGCGAAGGCAGCUUACCGGCUCCGGACUGACGCUGAGGCACGAAAGCGUGGGGAUCAAACAGGAUUAGAUACCCUGGUAGUCCACGCAGUAAACGAUGAAUGCUGGCUGUUCGGUCUAAAUAGUGACUGAGCGGCGUAGCGAAAGCGUUAAGCAUUCCACCUGGGGAGUACGCCGGCAACGGUGCAACUCAAAGGAAUUGACGGA